AACGACUCUCGGCAACGGAUAUCUCGGCUCUCGCAUCGAUGAAGAACGUAGCGAAAUGCGAUACUUGGUGUGAAUUGCAGAAUCCCGUGAACCAUCGAGUCUUUGUACGCAGUGCGCCCCAAGCCUUCUGGCCGAGGGCACGUCUGCCUGGGUGUCACAAA
rnacentral:rRNA from 1 species